CCCCAGACUCCGAGCAUGCGGACCAUGGCGCUGGGAAGCUUCCUCCUGCUGCUCUCGGGGACCCUGACCCUGACCGAGACCUGGGCGGGCUCCCACUCCCUGAGAUAUUUCAACACCGCCGUGUCCCGGCCCGGCCGCGGGGAGCCCCGCUUCAUCGUCGUCGGCUACGUGGACGACACGCAGUUCGUGCGGUUCGACAGCGACGCCGCGAGUCCGAGGAUGGAGCCGCGGGCGCCGUGGAUGGAGCAGGAGGGGCCGGAGUAUUGGGAGGAAGAGACGCGGACCGCCAAGAACAACGCACAGAUUUUCCGAGUGGACCUGAACAACCUGCGCGGCUACUACAACCAGAGCGAGGCCGGGUCUCACACUGUUCAGUGGAUGUAUGCCUGCGACGUGGGGCCGGACGGGCGCCUCCUCCGCGGGUAUGAACAGUUCGCCUACGACGGCGUCGAUUACCUCGCCCUGAACGAGGACCUUCGUUCCUGGACCGCGGCGGACACGGCGGCUCAGAUCACCCGGCGCAAGUGGGAGGCGGCCGGUGUGGCGGAGCACGACAGGAACUACCUGGAGGGCAAGUGCGUGGAGUGGCUCCUCAGAUACCUGGAGAACGGGAAGGAGACGCUGCAGCGUGCAGACCCUCCAAAGACACGUGUGACCUACCACCCUAUCUCUGACCGUGAGGUCACCCUGAGGUGCUGGGCCCUGGGCUUCUCCCCUGCGGAGAUCACCCUGACCUGGCAGCAUGAUGGGGAGGACCUGACCCAGGACACCGAGUUUGUGGAGACCAGGCCUGCAGGGGACGGGACCUUCCAGAAGUGGGCGGCUGUGGUGGUGCCUUCUGAAGAGGAGCAGAGAUACACCUGCCAUGUGCAGCACAAGGGGCUGCCUGAGCCCAUCACCCUGAGAUGGGAGCCAUCUCCUGUGUCCUCAUGGUGGGCAUCAUUGCUAGCAUGGUUCUCUUCACGGUCACUGUAGCUGUGGUGGCUGGAGUUGUGAUCUGGAGGAAGAAGCGCUCAGGUAGGGAAUAG